GACGAACGCUGGCGGCAUGCCUAACACAUGCAAGUCGAACGAGACCUUCGGGUCUAGUGGCGCACGGGUGCGUAACGCGUGGGAACCUGCCCUUAGGUUCGGAAUAACUCCCCGAAAGGGGUGCUAAUACCGGAUAAUGUCUUCGGACCAAAGAUUUAUCGCCUUUGGAUGGGCCCGCGUUGGAUUAGCUAGUUGGUAGGGUAAAAGCCUACCAAGGCGACGAUCCAUAGCUGGUCUGAGAGGAUGAUCAGCCACACUGGGACUGAGACACGGCCCAGACUCCUACGGGAGGCAGCAGUGGGGAAUAUUGGACAAUGGGCGAAAGCCUGAUCCAGCCAUGCCGCGUGAGUGAUGAAGGCCUUAGGGUUGUAAAGCUCUUUUACCCGGGAUGAUAAUGACAGUACCGGGAGAAUAAGCGCCGGCUAACUCCGUG
rnacentral:rRNA from 1 species